CAGAGAGGUGUGUGGCCACUUGGAGGCACCAGGUAGACCUCUCACUCAAACCCUUGCAGUCUAUUUUUUUUAACAUUGCACCUACCCCAAAAUGUUCAUGAAUAUUCUUAUGUUACUGACGGGUAUCCACAGUAUUUUCAGAUGUUGUUAUUGACAAAUGCUGCAAAAACUACAGUAAAUGUAAAAGGCACACGAAAUCACCAGUUCUUGUGUCAGGUGAAGGGUUGAGUCCUCACCACUGUAAUGUUUGGAUUCAGUCUUAUGUCAGGUGAAGGGUUGAGUCCUCACCACUGUAAUGUUUGGAUUCAGUCUUAUGUCAGGUGAAGGGUUGAGUCCUCACCACUGUAAUGUUUGGAUUCAGUCUUGUGUCAGGUGAAGCGUUGAGUCCUCACCACUGUAAUGUUUGGAUUCAGUCUUGUGUCAGGUGAAGCGUCGAGUCCUCACCUUUGGUCUGAUAAUUUCCCCAUGUUCUCCAAAUUGUUGUCUUUUAAUUGCUACCAUGGGCAUAUGCUUAUUAUAUUUCUUCUGUUAGAAACAUUUCCAUCUGGCCCAAUCUACACAGGACAAUUUCCACCAGUCUAAAGGGUUGAACCAACUUUGUAUUUUUCCCCAGAACAAUCACAUGAUGUCAUUUCAUCUUGUUUAUAAAAAAAAAAAAAAAAAAACAUUAUGUAAAAGUACGAUGUCAAAAAUGCCUAUCUUCUCCCUUGGAUUGAACUGUAGCCUAGUUGCAUAACGUAGAGUACUAACCUGUGGUCCACGGUGGUACUGCAGGUGAUCAGCUAAUGUUAUUUUAAUUUGAUUUUUUUACCAGUUGGGAGUGUACAAAACAUUAAGGAUCCC
rnacentral:lncRNA from 1 species